GGGGGUGCCUGCGGAGGGAUCAUUACCGAGUUUACAACUCCCAAACCCCUGUGAACAUACCAUUUGUUGCCUCGGCGGUGCCUGCUUCGGCAGCCCGCCAGAGGACCCAAACCCUUGAUUUUAUACAGUAUCUUCUGAGUAAAUGAUUAAAUAAAUCAAAACUUUCAACAACGGAUCUCUUGGUUCUGGCAUCGAUGAAGAACGCAGCGAAAUGCGAUAAGUAAUGUGAAUUGCAGAAUUCAGUGAAUCAUCGAAUCUUUGAACGCACAUUGCGCCCGCCAGUAUUCUGGCGGGCAUGCCUGUUCGAGCGUCAUUUCAACCCUCAAGCCCCCGGGCUUGGUGUUGGAGAUCGGCGUGCCCUCCGGGGCGCGCCGGCUCCCAAAUAUAGUGGCGGUCUCGCUGUAGCUUCCUCUGCGUAGUAGCACACCUCGCACUGGGAAACAGGCGUGGCCACGCCGUUAAACCCCCCACUUCUGAAAGGUUGACCUCGGAUCAGGUAGGAAUACCCGCUGAACUUAAGCAUAUCAUAAGGCCGGAG
rnacentral:rRNA from 1 species